rnacentral:rRNA from 1 species
CUACGGGUGGCUGCAGUAAGGAAUCUUCCGCAAUGGGCGAAAGCCUGACGGAGCGACACCGCGUGGAGGACGAAGGCCUUUUGGUUGUAAACUCCUUUUCUGGGGGAAUAAAUGAUGAAGGUACCCCAGGAAUAAGCACCGGCUAACUACGUGCCAGCAGCCGCGGUAAUACGUAGGGUGCAAGCGUUAUCCGGAAUCAUUGGGCGUAAAGCGUUCGUAGGUGGUUUAGAAAGUUUGUAGUUAAAUCUGGUCGCUCAACGAUCAAUUUGUUACAAAAACUCCUAAACUGGAGAUUGGCAGAGGCAACUGGAAUUCCACAUGUAGGGGUAAAAUCCGUUGAUAUGUGGAGGAACACCAAAAGCGAAGGCAGGUUGCUGGGCCAUUUCUGACGCUGAGGAACGAAAGCGUGGGGAGCAAACAGGAUUAGAUACCCCUGUAGUC